rnacentral:rRNA from 1 species
AGCUCCAGUAGCGUAUAUCAACGUUGUUGCAGUUAAAAAGCUCGUAGUUGGAUUUCUGAUUCGAGUGACCCAUCGCGUAGUAUCGUCCAAGUGAUGAUCUUCGUUGUAUGUUGGUAUGUCUCAAUCAUCUGUCUAUCUCAUGGUGGUGUUGUUCUUUAUUGAAUGGCAUCGUUUCAUGGUUAGACCAUUUACUUUGAAAAAAUCGGAGUGUUUCAAGCAGGAUGUAUUGUCCUUUGAACAGAUUAGCAUGGAAUAAUAAGAUAGGACUUUUGUUUUAUUUUGUUGGUUUUCUAAACGGAAGUAAUGAUUGAUAGGAGUGGUUGGGGGUGCUUGUAUUCCAUGGCCAGAGGUGAAAUUCUUGGAUUCAUGGAAGACAAACUAAUGCGAAAGCAUUCGCCAA